rnacentral:rRNA from 1 species
UACGUAGGAGGCAAGCGUUGUCCGGAUUUACUGGGCGUAAAGAGCGUGUAGGCGGUUGAGCAAGUCUGCUGUGAAAUCUCCUGGCUCAACCAGGAAGGGUCAGUGGAAACUGCUUAACUUGAGGACGGUAGAGGGGGGUAGAAUUCCACGUGUAGCAGUGAAAUGCGUAGAGAUGUGGAGGAACACCGAUGGCGAAGGCAAUCCCCUGGACCUGUACUGACGCUCAUGGCACGAAAGCGUGGGAGCAAACAGG